UACGGGGGGGGCAAGCGUUGUUCGGAAUUACUGGGCGUAAAGGGCUCGUAGGCGGCCAACUAAGUCAGACGUGAAAUCCCUCGGCUUAACCGGGGAACUGCGUCUGAUACUGGAUGGCUUGAGUUCGGGAGAGGGAUGUGGAAUUCCAGGUGUAGCGGUGAAAUGCGUAGAUAUCUGGAGGAACACCGGUGGCGAAGGCGGCAUCCUGGACCGACACUGACGCUGAUGAGCGAAAGCCAGGGGAGCAAACGGG
rnacentral:rRNA from 1 species